CAUAAUCAUUAGUUUUUUAAUUGGGAACUUGUAUGAAUGGUUAAACAAAAGAAAUACUGUCUUUUUCUUAUGAUUUGAAAUUAACUUUUAAGUGAAAAGGCUUAAAUUUUUUAAGGGGACGAUAAGACCCUAUAAAGCUUUAUAAAUAAUUAUUAAUAUUUUAAAAUUUUUAAAAUAAAAUAAAAUUUUAUAUUAUUUAUUUUGUUGGGGUAACACAAACAAAAUUUUAAAUAACUGUUAGAUAAAAAACCAUUUAUAAUUGAAAAAAUGAUCCUUAGUAAAGAUUGAAAAAACAAGUUACUUUAGGGAUAACAGCGUCAUUCUUUUUAAGAGUUCUUAUUGAAAAAAGAGUUUGCGACCUCGAUGUUGAAUCAUAAAAUCUAAGUAGUGCAGCAGUUACUGGAA
rnacentral:rRNA from 1 species